GAUGAACGCUAGCGGGAGGCUUAACACAUGCAAGUCGAGGGGUAACAUUACUUUCGGGUAGAUGACGACCGGCGAACGGGUGCGUAACGCGUAUGCAACCUACCUUAUACAGGGAGAUAGCCCAUGGAAACGUGGAUUAAUAUCCCAUAGUACUACUUUUUCACCUGAACUGGUAGUUAAAACUUCGGUGGUAUAAGAUGGGCAUGCGUAUGAUUAGCUGGAUGGUGAGGUAACGGCUCACCAUGGCGACGAUCAUUAGGGGUUCUGAGAGGAUUAUCCCCCACACUGGUACUGAGACACGGACCAGACUCCUACGGGAGGCAGCAGUGAGGAAUAUUGGUCAAUGGGCGCGAGCCUGAACCAGCCAUCCCGCGUGCAGGAUGACGGCCCUAUGGGUUGUAAACUGCUUUUCUAUGCCAAGAAACCCACGCUCGUGAGCGUGGUUGACGGUAGCAUAAGAAUAAGGACCGGCUAACUCCGUGCCAGCAGCCGCGGUAAUACGGAGGGUCCAAGCGUUAUCCGGAUUCAUUGGGUUUAAAGGGUGCGCAGGCGGGCUUGUAAGUCAGUGGUGAAAUACUGCCGCUUAACGGUAGAACUGCCAUUGAUACUGCAAGUCUUGAAUAUGGUUGAGGUAGGCGGAAUGUGUUGUGUAGCGGUGAAAUGCAUAGAUAUGACACAGAACGCCGAUUGCGAAGGCAGCUUACUAAGCCAUAAUUGACGCUGAGGCACGAAAGCGUGGGGAGCGAACAGGAUUAGAUACCCUGGUAGUCCACGCCGUAAACGAUGUUCACUCGCUGUCUGCGAUACACAGUAGGCGGCUUAGCGAAAGCAUUAAGUGAACCACCUGGGGAGUACGAUCGCAAGGUUGAAACUCAAAGGAAUUGACGG
rnacentral:rRNA from 1 species